UGCAGGCUGUUUCGAGAAUGUCAGGGCCAUCAGCGAAUCCCCACUUUUUUGUUUUGGAUAAGAACGGUCUUAUCACAGAAGAGAGGCAGGACCUUGAUCCAGCUGUUUUUCCUUUUGCUAAAGCGGCCCAGCAUGAGAUCAAGAGCAUAGGACUUCAUGAAGGUGCAAGUCUUGCUGAAGUGUUGAAAGACAGAGGCUUGUGAUUUUGAAGCUGGAAGUGAUACGAUAAUUGAUAAGCAGGGGUUUGACUGUUUGACUGCACCACUGUUCUUGCAAGACUUGAGGUAAAAUUAGUUCAAAUGCAAAAGACUUGAGGCAAAAUAACCCGUAGAUACAUUACUAUGACUAUUUGUUAUAAUUAGUUUCUUUGUUUUUAUAUUAGUCUUUACAAACUUGUAUGAAACAUUUCAUUUUGGUAGUGAUGAUAAAGUCUUUUAAUA